rnacentral:rRNA from 1 species
CUCGCGUCCGAUUAGCCAGUUGGCGGGGUAAAGGCCCACCAAAGCAACGAUCGGUAGCCGGACUGAGAGGUUGAACGGCCACAUUGGGACUGAGACACGGCCCAGACUCCUACGGGAGGCAGCAGUGGGGGAUAUUGCACAAUGGGGGAAACCCUGAUGCAGCAACGCCGCGUGAGGGAAGAAGGUUUUCGGAUUGUAAACCUCUGUCCUUGGUGAAGAUAAUGACGGUAGCCAAGGAGGAAGCUCCGGCUAACUACGUGCCAGCAGCCGCGGUAAUACGUAGGGAGCGAGCGUUGUCCGGAAUUACUGGGUGUAAAGGGUGCGUAGGCGGCAAAUCAAGUCAGAUGUGAAAUACCGAGGCUUAACCUCGGAGCUGUAUUUGAAACUGAAUUGCUUGAGUGAAGUAGAGGCAAGCGGAAUUCCCGGUGUAGCGGUGAAAUGCGUAGAGAUCGGGAGGAACACCAGUGGCGAAGGCGGCUUGCUAGGCUUCAACUGACGCUGAGGCACGAAAGCGUGGGUAGCAAACAGGAUUAGAUACCCUGGUAGUCCACGCUGUAAACGAUGAUUACUAGGUGUGGGCGGAUAGACCGUCCGUGCCGG